AAAGAUGAAAAUAGAGGAGAGAGCAAGAGAAAAAAGGAAUAUCUCAUACGAACAUAUUGAUUUAUGUUUUGCUCGGCCAGCUUUAUUUUGUUUUUAUACGAUGUGAAAUUUGUCAUAUUCGAUGCACUCAGUACAGCAAGUAGCUCCAAUAUGCUCCAGUUCAACAAUA
rnacentral:ribozyme from 11 species